UACGAAGGGGGCUAGCGUUGCUCGGAAUUACUGGGCGUAAAGGGCGCGUAGGCGGCACUGUUAGUCAGGCGUGAAAGUCCUGGGCUCAACCUGGGAACUGCGCUUGAUACGGCAGAGCUAGAGGAUGGAAGAGGCUCGCGGAAUUCCCAGUGUAGAGGUGAAAUUCGUAGAUAUUGGGAAGAACACCGGUGGCGAAGGCGGCGAGCUGGUCCAUUACUGACGCUGAGGCUCGAAAGCGUGGGGAGCAAACAGG
rnacentral:rRNA from 1 species